AUACUUACCAGGCAUGGGCAAUACCAUGAUCACGAAGGUGAUUUCCCCAGGGCGAGGCUUACCCAUUGCAUUGCACUCCGGGUGUGCUGACCCCUGCGAUUUCCCCAAAUGUGGGAAACUCGACUGCGUAAUUUGUGAUAGUGGGGGCUGUGUGUGCGCUCUCCCCUG